rnacentral:rRNA from 2 species
UAAUACGAAGGGUGCAAGCGUUAAUCGGAAUUACUGGGCGUAAAGCGCGCGUAGGUGGUUCAGCAAGUUGGAGGUGAAAUCCCCGGGCUCAACCUGGGAACUGCCUCCAAAACUACUGAGCUAGAGUACGGUAGAGGGUAGUGGAAUUUCCUGUGUAGCGGUGAAAUGCGUAGAUAUAGGAAGGAACACCAGUGGCGAAGGCGACUACCUGGACUGAUACUGACACUGAGGUGCGAAAGCGUGGGGAGCAAACAGG